rnacentral:rRNA from 1 species
UAACGGCGAGUGAAGCGGCAACAGCUCAAAUUUGAAAUCUGGCUCUUUCAGAGUCCGAGUUGUAAUUUGCAGAGGGCGCUUUGGCGUUGGCAGCGGUCCAAGUUCCUUGGAACAGGACGUCACAGAGGGUGAGAAUCCCGUACGUGGUCGCUAGCCAUCGCCGUGUAAAGCCCCUUCGACGAGUCGAGUUGUUUGGGAAUGCAGCUCUAAAUGGGAGGUAAAUUUCUUCUAAAGCUAAAUACUGGCCAGAGACCGAUAGCGCACAAGUAGAGUGAUCGAAAGAUGAAAAGCACUUUGGAAAGAGAGUCAAAUAGCACGUGAAAUUGUUGAAAGGGAAGCGCUUGCAGCCAGACUUGCCUGUAGUUGCUCAUCCGGGCUUUUGCCCGGUGCACUCUUCUGCGGGCAGGCCAGCAUCAGUUUGGGCGGUUGGAUAAAGGUCUCUGUCAUGUAGCUCUCUUCGGGGAGAACUUAUAGGGGAGACGACAUACAACCAGCCUGGACUGAGGUCCGCGCAUUUGCUAGGAUGCUGGCGUAAUGGCUGUAAGCGGCCCGUCUUGAAACACGGACCAAGGAGUCUAACAUCUAUGCGAGUGUUUGGGUGUCAAGCCCGAGCGCGUAAUGAAAGUGAACGGAGGUGGGACCCCUUUAGGGUGCACCAUCGACCGAUCCUGAUGUCUUCGGAUGGAUUUGAGUAAGAGCAUGGCUGUUGGGACCCGAAAGAUGGUGAACUAUGCUUGAAUAGGGUGAAGCCAGAGGAAACUCUGGUGGAGGCUCGCAGCGGUUCUGACGUGCAAAUCGAUCGUC